CCGAGUGAGGGUCCCUUGACCCAAUCUCCCACCCGUGUUUUAACUAUACUGUGUUGCUUCGGCGGGCCCACUGGGCCCUUGUUCCCGGUCGCUGGGGGGGAAACCCCCGGGCCCGUGCCCGCCGGAGACCCUAGAAACUCCUGUCUGAAUGAGUUGGUCUGAGCAAGAAUGAUAAUUAUA
rnacentral:misc_RNA from 1 species